AUGAAAAUCUUGCUGUGGAGAUUUGCUCAUAAUUGUUUGCCAUCGGGAGAUCAACUGCAGCGACGCCAUGUCCCAACGAGGAUGGAUUGUGUGUUCUGUGGCCGGGCUGAAGGUAUUGAGCAUGCGUUGCUCUUUUGUGUCCAUGCAAGAUUAGUCUGGGAGGAGAAGGAUGUAUUUGGUCUCAAGCUGCGUCGCUCCUCUUUCACCUCUCCAAAGAAGUGGAUUUUGGAUCUGAUUGGCUGGAGUUCCAACAGGGACAUCUCUGUCAUCACGGUCACAUUAUGGCACAUCUGGGAAGCCUGUAAUGCUGCUCGCAACGAACCGGAUCCCCCUCAUCCAAAGCGGACUGCUGCGAGGUCGAGAGCUUAUGUGGAUAUGAUCUUCCAGCACCUCUUCAAGCCUGCUGCUGCCUCUAGGCGUGAAUCUUCGGGUGCUUCUUCUGCGGCGGGCGUGGUGGUACAGGAUCAUUCUGGCGAGUGUGUGGCGGCUGCUUCCGAACCUUUGCCUGGUGUCUCAUCCCUAGAGUUGGCUGAGGCCUUUGCACUCCGGCGGGCGGUGCGGCUGGCGGGCGAGCAGAAAUAUGGCCGAGUGAUCUUUCAGUCUGACUGCCUCUCGGUGGUUCAAAGGAUUCAGUCUUCGAUCCAGGACCGUUCCAUGGUGGGUUCGAUCAUCGCUGAUAUCAAGAUGGCCUGUCGAUCUUUGUCUUCGGUCUCUUUUAUGCAUGUUCGUCGGCAUUAUAAUAUUUUAGCUCAUGUUCUAGCUAGAUCUAGUCUGAACUCUGUGAGUCCUUGUGUUUUUCAUUCUGCUUCGGAUUGCAUCCGGGAGAAUCUGUGUAAUCUGUUUGCUUGA
rnacentral:rRNA from 1 species